GAAGAUCUUUGAUUAAUCUUUUCAUCGGAUGGACAUAAAUCUCUCAGAUUUCAUUAAAAUAUCUCAGCUUUUCUUUCGAAGAUGAACGAAAGUCUUAGAUGGUUUGGAGCUUCUUAAGGCUUCUGCAAGCGUGUAUGGUGUCUGGCUUUUGGAACCUCACUGUGACUUCAGAUAAGAACAAAGAUUAAAUUGUAAGAACGGUUGCUUAUAAGAGCAUACAGUACAUCUGAAACUGCUGAGGCUGGUAAGGUUUUUGACUAUAUUUCCGACCAG